rnacentral:lncRNA from 1 species
CUGAAGCUAGGAGAGAAACAGGACGAGGCCAAGGGAUCAGGUUAAAAUUCUUUGCAUGCAGAAUGAAGAAUGAGGAGGUGCUGCGAUCGAACGACUGCGAGGAAACACACCCGCUCUCAUGGCAUUCCCAGUAAACUGAGAAGACGUGAUUAAACCUCAGGAUCUCCUACUAAUAGAGAAAUAGACGGGAUCUCACUGUGUUGCCCAGGCUGGUCUCGAACUGCUGGACUCAAGUCAUCCUCCCAUCUUGGCCUCCCAAAGUGCUGGAAUUACAGUGGACAACCUUCAAUGCACUGGUACUUUGUACCCUGACCUCUACUGUGAUGAACACUCAACUUGGGCAAGGAAGUGAAAUUCUCCAAAGCAAGGAGGAGGGUGCUCUGAAUAGAUGGACCCUGAUUCUACUUACAAAACUGUGGGAAGAAACCGGAGCUUCCUCCCUCUCUGAGACAACGGUGCCACUGAGACUGCGUGAGAUGCGACGUAAAUUCUCUGCACUGUACUGCUCAUCCUCCCCACACUCCCUGCUGAGGCCUCGGCAAGGUGUAGCCUUCAAACACACAGACACAUACAGGCAGACACAUAAUACCAGACUUAUGGUUUUCCCACAGACAGUAUCCUCAGGGUAUGGGAAAGAGUAGGGGAAGACUCAGUAGUAAUAGACACCUGAAUUAGAUGUAUUGGUAAGAUAGUGGCCAUGUAACAAUCUCCUCUAAUUCAAAAGAAGCCCAAUCAUAGACCUUAUUUUCUUCUGAUAGCCCCAUAUCACCAUGCCUCUGCCUUAUCAUCAUCCCUGUCACAUCUCUCCAUAAUUCCUUCCCCAACACACCACCCCAGGCCCAGCACCUUAGCACCUGAGGCUGCUACCUGAGAAGUACGCACUGUUCUGGCUUCAUGGAGACCAUGCUCCAUUUCUGCUGUUGAAGUCUUUGAGAGACCAGGAUCAUGGGCUGAGUGCAACCUCCUCCCCAUGCCAUCUGCAGAGCCUGAAGAGGAAAACACAAAUACAAGUUGAGGCCAUCUCUUCCCCUAGGGCCUAACCUCUAAGCCUAGCAGCACAAACUCAGGAGCUGUUGUUUCAUUUAAUAAUAAAUAUGCAUCCUUGAAUUCAACGGAGGAACAUGCUCCUGGAAUUUAGAAGCAAGAGGGGCUGGGCGCGGUGGCUCACACCUGUAAUCCCAGCACUUUGGGAGGCCAACACGGGCAGAUCACGAGGUCAGGAGAUCGAGACCACCCUGGCUAACAUGGUAAAACCCUGUCUCUACUAAAAAUACAAAAAAUUAGCCGGGCGUGGUGGCAGGCACCUGUAAUCCCAGCUACUCGGGAGGCUGAGGCAGGAGAAUGGCGUGAACCCGGGAGGCGUAGCUUGCAGUGAGCGGAGAUCACGCCACUGCACUCCAGCCCGGGUGACAGAGCGAGACUCCGUCUCAAAAAAAAAAAGAAACAAGAAUUUUAGAAUAUAGAUAGUUUACUGAGUGUCCCCAUCUUGCUUCAUUUCAUUUUUGUAAACAUAAUCAGCUUCUGUCAGACUUAGGCUCAAGACUUAUAGACAGAGGAAAGUAUCUAACACAGUGAGUUUUGUUUUCUAACACAGUGAUUUUCUAAAGUAUCUGUGGUGACAAAGGAAAUUAUCUCCAGUCUAGUUCAGAAUAGAAAUGAUCAUAAUAAUCAUCUAUCAAACCUCCUCAUUUUAUAUAACAGGAAAAUGAGUUCCAGGGUCUGAGAGUUUAGUAGUUUAACCAGGAUUAAAAUUAAAUCCUCUUGAUUUUCAGUACAGUACUCUUACCAUCUCACCUGGUGACCUCUUUUACUCUGAGAGCAGGAGCUCCUCAGGAAUGUUUUACAUAUGUAAUGCUCUUUUCCCCUUAGCUUCUCUCAAAUCAUUUAAAUUUCUAAACAACCACUAAAUGCUUACCUCUUUUCAAAAUCUUUCUAGAUUGUUCAGUUGCUCUAAACUGGAUUGGUGACUCCCAAGGGGCUAUCCCCAAUCCAACUAAUUAAGUUUUCCAUUCCAAAACUGUAUAUGCCCCUGACCUACAUUUGAUACAUAUGUCCAUGGCCAAUUCAUGUCUUGAUUUGAUGAUUUGAUUCUAAUAUAUAUAUAUAUAUCUGGCUGAAGCUGAUAUUAUUCAUGUAAGUAUUGUAAGACCAGUUAUUUUCAGUAUUCCUGGGUACUUAAAUGCAGUGCUUUCAAUACCACCUCAGAUUCAUCUGGGAACUUUUAAAAAUAUAGCUUCCUGGAUGUUACCACAGAGCUGAAUCAGAAGGUUUGUGGUUGGUGCCUGGGAAUUUUCAUUUUUGAAAGGUUCCCAAAAAGUCUAAGAAAAUAUCCUUGAACAUUAUUGGGGGAAAUGGGAAAUGUUACAGUCUUCCUAAAAAACAACCUGGUAAUCUCCAAUAAAAUAAAAAAUAUAUUUAUCCUGUUGCCCAACGAUUCUAAUCCUGAGAAGAAGAAGAAAAAAAUACCAGUUCAUAACAACAUAUAUAUGAGAAUAUUUUCUACUGACAUAAUUUAUAGUAGCCAAGAACUAGAAAUAAAGUAAUGCCCACCUAUAGAAGAAUAAAUACAUUAUGGUUUAAUACCAGAUAUUGUCCAGCCACUUAAAAAGAUUGAACUGAGUUAAACUAGAUGAUUUGAAGAAAUUUUAAUGAAACAUUGUUGCAUUAAAAGGAAAAAAAUCUGUAAAAUGAUAGACAAGCAUUUGUUUAUGUAUAUGUAGGUCUACAUAGGAUUGUAUAAACAGAAAAUACAGUGUAUGCACACUAGAUAAUUACCUGGGGAAGUAGGGACUGGCUGUGAGAGAAGAGACAGGAAAAUUGUCUAUAAUAAAAACAGCAUGUGUGUUAUGUUCUUAUUUCUAUAAAAUUA